rnacentral:rRNA from 1 species
AUUGAACGCUGGCGGCAGGCCUAACACAUGCAAGUCGAACGGUAACAGGAAACAGCUUGCUGUUUCGCUGACGAGUGGCGGACGGGUGAGUAAUGUCUGGGAAACUGCCUGAUGGAGGGGGAUAACUACUGGAAACGGUAGCUAAUACCGCAUAACGUCGCAAGACCAAAGAGGGGGACCCUCGGGCCGCUUGCCAUCGGAUGUGCCCAGAUGGGAUUAGCUUGUUGGUGGGGUAACGGCUCACCAAGGCGACGAUCCCUAGCUGGUCUGAGAGGAUGACCAGCCACACUGGAACUGAGACACGGUCCAGACUCCUACGGGAGGCAGCAGUGGGGAAUAUUGCACAAUGGGCGCAAGCCUGAUGCAGCCAUGCCGCGUGUAUGAAGAAGGCCUUCGGGUUGUAAAGUACUUUCAGCGGGGAGGAAGGGAGUAAAGUUAAUACCUUUGCUCAUUGACGUUACCCGCAGAAGAAGCACCGGCUAACUCCGUG